rnacentral:rRNA from 1 species
CCUACGGGAGGCAGCAGUGAGGAAUAUUUGUCAAUGGGCGUAAGCCUGAACCAGCCAAGUCGCGUGAGGGAUGAAGGAUCUAUGGAUCGUAAACCUCUUUUAUAAGGGAAUAAAGUGUGGGACGUGUCCUAUUUUGUAUGUACCUUAUGAAUAAGGAUCGGCUAACUCCGUGCCAGCAGCCGCGGUAAUACGGAGGAUCCGGUCGUUAACCGGAUUUAUUGGGUUUAACGGGUACGUAGGCGGCCUUUUAAGUCAGCUGUGAAAGUCUGUGGCUCAACCAUAGCAUUGCCGUUGAAACUGGGGGGCUUGAGUAUGUUUGAGGCAGGCGGAAUGCGUGGUGUAGCGGUGAAAUGCUUAGAGAUCACGCAGAACCCCGAUUGCGAAGGCAGCCUGCCAAGCCAUGACUGACGCUGAUGCACGAAAGCGUGGGGAUCAAACAGGAUUAGAUACCCUGGUAGUC